UACGUAGGGGGCUAGCGUUGUCCGGAAUCAUUGGGCGUAAAGCGCGCGUAGGCGGCCAGAUAAGUCCGGUGUGAAAGCCACAGGCUCAACCUGUGAAUGCCGCUGGAAACUGUCUGGCUAGAGUCCGGGAGGGGCGAGUGGAAUUCCUGGUGUAGCGGUGAAAUGCGCAGAUAUCAGGAGGAACACCAAUGGCGAAGGCAGCUCGCUGGGACGUUACUGACGCUGAGACGCGAAAGCGUGGGGAGCAAACAGG
rnacentral:rRNA from 1 species